rnacentral:rRNA from 1 species
AUUGAACGCUGGCGGCAGGCUUAACACAUGCAAGUCGAGCGGGGGAGGUUGCUUCGGUAACUGACCUAGCGGCGGACGGGUGAGUAAUGCUUAGGAAUCUGCCUAUUAGUGGGGGACAACAUUCCGAAAGGAAUGCUAAUACCGCAUACGCACUACGGGGGAAAGCAGGGGAUCUGCGGCCCUCGCGCUAAUAGAUGAGCCUAAGUCGGAUUAGCUAGUGGGUGGGGUAAAGGCCUACCAAGGCGACGAUCUGUAGCGGGUCUGAGAGGAUGAUCCGCCACACUGGGACUGAGACACGGCCCAGACUCCUACGGGAGGCAGCAGUGGGGAAUAUUGGACAAUGGGCGGAAGCCUGAUCCAGCCAUGCCGCGUGUGUGAAGAAGGCCUUUUGGUUGUAAAGCACUUUAAGCGAGGAGGAGGCUCUUAAGGUUAAUACCCUUGAUGAGUGGACGUUACUCGCAGAAUAAGCACCGGCUAACUCUGUGCCAGCAGCCGCCGUAAGAC